ACGUGGCUGGCUCAGUCGGUAGAACACCUGACUUUUAAUCUUGGGGUUGUGGGUUUGAGUCCCAUGGUGGGUG
rnacentral:tRNA from 1 species